rnacentral:rRNA from 1 species
AGAGUUUGAUCCUGGCUCAGGAUGAACGCUAGCGGCAGGCUUAACACAUGCAGGUCGAGGGGCAGCGGGGAGGAAGCUUGCUUUCUCCGCCGGCGACCGGCGCACGGGUGAGUAACACGUAUGCAACCUGCCCCUGUCAGGGGGACAACCCGCCGAAAGGCGGGCUAAACCCGCGUACAUGCCACCGGGGCAUCCCGGAGGCAGGAAAGGCUUCGGCCGGACAGGGAUGGGCAUGCGGCGCAUUAGGCAGUAGGCGGGGUAACGGCCCACCUAACCGACGAUGCGUAGGGGUUCUGAGAGGAAGGUCCCCCACACUGGUACUGAGACACGGACCAGACUCCUACGGGAGGCAGCAGUGAGGAAUAUUGGUCAAUGGUCGGGAGACUGAACCAGCCAAGCCGCGUGAGAGAGGAAGGUACAGAGUAUCGUAAACCUCUUUUGUCAGGGAACAAAGGCGGGGACGUGUCCCCGGAUGAGUGUACCUGAAGAAAAAGCAUCGGCUAACUCCGUGCCAGCAGCCGCGGUAAUACGGAGGAUGCGAGCGUUAUCCGGAUUUAUUGGGUUUAAAGGGUGCGCAGGCGGUCUGUUAAGUCAGCGGUCAAAGCCCGGGGCUCAACCCCGGCCCGCCGUUGAAACUGGCAGUCUCGAGUUGGAGAGAAAUAUGCGGAAUGCCGCGGUGUAGCGGUGAAAAUGCAUAAAAUAUCGCGCAAAACUCCCAUUUGCAAGGCAGCCUGCCCGGCCUCCACACUGACGCUGAGGCACGAAAGCGUGGGUAUCGAACAGGAUUAGAUACCCUGGUAGUCCACGCAGUAAACGAUGAAUGCUGGCUGUCCGGGGGGAUUGACCCCUGGGUGGCGAAGCGAAAGCGAUAAGCAUUCCACCUGGGGAGUACGCCGGCAACGGUGAAACUCAAAGGAAUUGACGGGGGCCCGCACAAGCGGAGGAACAUGUGGUUUAAUUCGAUGAUACGCGAGGAACCUUACCCGGGCUCAAACGGGGAGUGACUCAGGCAGAGACGCCUGUUUCCCACGGGACACUCCCCCAGGUGCUGCAUGGUUGUCGUCAGCUCGUGCCGUGAGGUGUCGGCUUAAGUGCCAUAACGAGCGCAACCCCCGCGUGCAGUUGCUAACAGAUAACGCUGAGGACUCUGCACGGACUGCCGGCGCAAGCCGCGAGGAAGGCGGGGAUGACGUCAAAUCAGCACGGCCCUUACGUCCGGGGCGACACACGUGUUACAAUGGGUGGUACAGCGGGAAGCCAGGCGGCGACGCCGAGCGGAACCCGAAAUCCACUCUCAGUUCGGAUCGGAGUCUGCAACCCGACUCCGUGAAGCUGGAUUCGCUAGUAAUCGCGCAUCAGCCAUGGCGCGGUGAAUACGAAGGGGGGCCUUGCACACACCGCCCGUCA